GCUCGUGUAGCUCAGUUGGCUAGAGCAUUCGGCUUACAUCCGAAAGGUCCGAGGUUCGAGUCCUCGCACGAGCA
rnacentral:tRNA from 1 species